CUUUGUAAAGUGUCUGAGACAAACAAGAAAGGAAUAUAAUGUCCCACCUCACCCUAUGGCCACUCCAGAAAAGAAAAAUGUUUCCCUGGAGUAGAGGAGAACAGAGAUGGGGAGAAAAGAAUGGCCACAUCUGGCAUCCAGGCCGAGGAGUCCAUGCAGGA
rnacentral:lncRNA from 1 species